UCCAGAGGGGUAAGAUUUCCUUGAGAUUUCCAUGUAAUGUUAGUAGCAAAACAGUCCAUCUGGUAGUAAUUAUCAUGCAAACUUGUCUUUUGAAUUCACAGAAUGGAUCCAAGUUCAAGUUAUUUGCUUAAAAUUAAAUUGUUUGGCAAUCGAAAGAAAGCUUGAAAGGACAUAAGAUGUUUUUGUUUUGAGAAGGUCAUCGAUUGUGACUUGACAAAUUAUAAGGAUUUGGUUGAAUCAAUUGUAGAGCAGUAUCCGCCGGGUUAUUUGGAAGUUGCACAUGUGCAGUAUUAUGAUGAUGUUCUUAAAACUUGUCCAGAAGUAAAAUCUGACCAAGAUUUGAUGCUUAUGUUUGAAAUUACUGCUGCCAUACAUGUACAAGUGUACAUCAACGAAGGGAAAGAAGAUGGAGCUUGCUAAAAAGGAUGAAAUUUGUGCUAUGGUACCAUUUGACAGCCCUGCAAUGGGCACUAGAAGCAAAAAGACUAGUCCAACCAGCCCUGCAAUGAGCACAAGAAGCAAAAGAAGGCUUAGCUUGUGAACAUGUCAUAUUGUGUGAACUCAUGUAUAUGAAGCUUUGGUCACUUGGACUAUGUAUGUGAACCUGGAUAUGAUGACAAUCCUUCUGUGUUGCUCAUAUGAUGUGAACUUGAAUGUUGGACCUAUAUAUAUGAACCUGGAUAUGUUGUACGUGAUAUAUGCGUAUUUGGAUAUGAGCCUGGAUGUUUAUGUGCAAAUCUGAAUAUUAUUUGUUGAAAUAUAUGUAUAUGUGAAUUGUGUGAUCCUAAUAUGCAUCAAUUUAUAGGAAAGGUUCUGCUCAAAUUUUGAAUUACUUAGUAUGUGAUGUAUUUUGCUCACAACUUCAUCAGG
rnacentral:lncRNA from 1 species